rnacentral:rRNA from 1 species
UACGGAGGGUGCGAGCGUUGUCCGGAAUCACUGGGCGUAAAGGGCGCGUAGGUGGCCGAGCAAGGUCGCGGUGAAAGCCCGGGGCUCAACCCCGGGUCGGCCGUGGCAACUACUGGGCUGGAGCACUGUAGGGGCGGGUGGAAUUCCGGGUGUAGCGGUGGAAUGCGUAGAGAUCCGGAAGAACACCGGUGGCGAAGGCGGCCCGCUGGGGCAGUUGCUGACACUGAGGCGCGACAGCGUGGGGGAGCAAACGGGG